rnacentral:rRNA from 1 species
CACCCCAGUCAUGAAUCUCACCGUGGUAAGCGCCCUCCCGAAGGUUAAGCUACCUACUUCUGGUGAAACCCACUCCCAUGGUGUGACANNGCGGUGUGUACAAGACCCGGGAACGUAUUCACCGCAGCAUGCUGAUCAGCGAUUACUAGCGAUUCCGACUUCACGUAGCCGAGUUGCAGACUACGAUCCGGACUACGAUCGGCUUUGUGGGAUUGGCUCCACCUCGCGGCUUGGCAACCCUCUGUACCGACCAUUGUAUGACGUGUGAAGCCCUACCCAUAAGGGCCAUGAGGACUUGACGUCAUCCCCACCUUCCUCCGGUUUGUCACCGGCAGUCUCAUUAGAGUGCCCAACUAAAUGAUGGCAACUAAUGACAAGGGUUGCGCUCGUUGCGGGACUUACCAACAUCUACGACACGAGCUGCCACAGCAUGCAGCCCUGUGUUCUGGCUNCCGAAGGC